rnacentral:tRNA from 1 species
AGAUUCGGAUGAGAUUCGGACUCAUAGUCUCCUGUUUACUAGACAGGCGCUUUAACCAACUAAGCCACGGC